rnacentral:rRNA from 1 species
GACGAACGCUGGCGGCGUGCUUAACACAUGCAAGUCGAACGGAAAGGCCCUGCUUUUGUGGGGUGCUCGAGUGGCGAACGGGUGAGUAACACGUGAGUAACCUGCCCUUGACUUUGGGAUAACUUCAGGAAACUGGGGCUAAUACCGGAUAGGAGCUCCUGCUGCAUGGUGGGGGUUGGAAAGUUUCGGCGGUUGGGGAUGGACUCGCGGCUUAUCAGCUUGUUGGUGGGGUAGUGGCUUACCAAGGCUUUGACGGGUAGCCGGCCUGAGAGGGUGACCGGCCACAUUGGGACUGAGAUACGGCCCAGACUCCUACGGGAGGCAGCAGUGAGGAAUAUUGCACAAUGGGCGGAAGCCUGAUGCAGCAACGCCGCGUGCGGGAUGACGGCCUUCGGGUUGUAAUCCGCUUUCGCCUGUGACGAAGCGUGAGUGACGGUAAUGGGUAAAGAAGCACCGGCUAACUACGUG